UUACCCCGCUGAAAUUAAGCAUAUCAAUAAGCGGAGGAAAAGAAACCAACAGGGAUUGCCCUAGUAACGGCGAGUGAAGCGGCAACAGCUCAAAUUUGAAAGCUGGCUCCGGCCCGCAUUGUAAUUUGCAGAGGAUGCUUCUGGUGAGGUGCCUUCCGAGUUCCCUGGAACGGGACGCCAUAGAGGGUGAGAGCCCCGUAUGGAUGGACACCAAACCUGUGUGAAGCUCCUUCAACGAGUCGAGUAGUUUGGGAAUGCUGCUCUAAAUGGGAGGUAAAUCUCUUCUAAAGCUAAAUACCGGCCAGAGACCGAUAGCGCACAAGUAGAGUGAUCGAAAGAUGAAAAGCACCUUGAAAAGGGGGUUAAACAGUACGUGAAAUUGUUGAAAGGGAAGCGCUUGUGACCAGACUUGCGCCGGGCAGCUCAUCAGGGGUUCUCCCCUGUGCACUCUGCCCGGCUCAGGCCAGCAUCGGUUCUCGUGGGAGGAUAAGAACGGUUGGAACGUGGCCCCCCUCCGGGGGGGUGUUAUAGCCUACCGUACGAUACUCCCGUGGGGACCGAGGUUCGCGCUCCGCAAGGAUGCUGGCGUAAUGGUCAUCAGCGACCCGUCUUGAAACACGGACCAAGGAGUCGUCCAUUAGAGCGAGCGUUUGGGUGUAAAACCCGCACGCGUAAUGAAAGUGAACGCAGGUGAGAGCUUCGGCGCAUCAUCGACCGAUCCUGAUGUCUUCGGAUGGAUUUGAGUAAGAGUUUUAACGGACGGACCCGAAAGACAGUGAACUAUGCUUGUAUAGGGUGAAGCCAGAGGAAACUCUGGUGGAGGCUCGCAGCGGUUCUGACGUGCAAAUCGAUCGUCAAAUAUGAGCAUGGGGGCGAAAGACUAAUCGAACUCCCCCGUAC
rnacentral:rRNA from 1 species